GUGGGGAAUAUUGGACAAUGGGCGCAAGCCUGAUCCAGCCAUGCCGCGUGUGUGAAGAAGGCCUUUUGGUUGUAAAGCACUUUAAGCGAGGAGGAGGCUCCUUUAGUUAAUACCUAAAGAGAGUGGACGUUACUCGCAGAAUAAGCACCGGCUAACUCUGUGCCAGCAGCCGCGGUAAUACAGAGGGUGCGAGCGUUAAUCGGAUUUACUGGGCGUAAAGCGUGCGUAGGCGGCUUUUUAAGUCGGAUGUGAAAUCCCUGAGCUUAACUUAGGAAUUGCAUUCGAUACUGGAAAGCUAGAGUAUGGGAGAGGAUGGUAGAAUUCCAGGUGUAGCGGUGAAAUGCGUAGAGAUCUGGAGGAAUACCGAUGGCGAAGGCAGCCAUCUGGCCUAAUACUGACACUGAGGUGCGAAAGCAUGGGGAGCAAACAGGAUUAGAAACCCCAGUAGUCC
rnacentral:rRNA from 1 species